rnacentral:rRNA from 1 species
CAGCCGCCGCGGUAAUACGAAGGGUGCAAGCGUUAAUCGGAAUUACUGGGCGUAAAGCGUGCGUAGGCGGUGAGUUAAGUCUGCUGUGAAAUCCCCGGGCUCAACCUGGGAAUGGCAGUGGAUACUGGCUCGCUAGAGUGUGUCAGAGGAUGGUGGAAUUCCCGGUGUAGCGGUGAAAUGCGUAGAGAUCGGGAGGAACAUCAGUGGCGAAGGCGGCCAUCUGGGACAACACUGACGCUGAGGCACGAAAGCGUGGGGAGCAAACAGGAUUAGAUACCCCAGUAGUCCCUGUCUCUUAUAU